rnacentral:tRNA from 2 species
GCGGGGGUGCCCGAGCUAGGACAAAGGGGGCGGCCUGGAAAUCCGCUGGCGUAGGCCUGCCCGGGUUCGAAUCCCGGCCCCCGCACCA